rnacentral:rRNA from 1 species
CCAGACUCCUACGGGAGGCAGCAGUGGGGAAUAUUGCACAAUGGGGGGAACCCUGAUGCAGCAAUGCCGCGUGAAGGAUGAAGGUUUUCGGAUUGUAAACUUCUUUUGUACGGGACGAAGAAAGUGACGGUACCGUAAGAAUAAGCCACGGCUAACUACGUGCCAGCAGCCGCGGUAAUACGGAGGAUGCGAGCGUUAUCCGGAUUUAUUGGGUUUAAAGGGUGCGUAGGCGGACUGUUAAGUCAGCGGUAAAAGCCGGGGGCCCAACCCCGGCGAGCCGUUGAAACUGGCUGUCUUGAGAUGUCGAGAGGUAUGCGGAAUGCGCAGUGUAGCGGUGAAAUGCUUAGAUAUUGCGCAGAACUCCGAUUGCGAAGGCAGCAUACCGGCGGCGAUCUGACGCUGAGGCACGAAAGCGUGGGUAUCGAACAGGAUUAGAUACCCUGGUAC